GGUCCUUUAUACCCACCUCGUAUUCCGCUACUUCUGCCACCAUUCAUUAAAGUAACUACUCGAAGUUCUUUACCAAGAGAAGGAAAGAUUCAGAACAACAUCUUCAGUUCGGAGAGUAUCAAAAGGUUGCUGCGCCCGUCCUCAAGUUUCCCCACAACAUCCUGCCUGGAGGACAGUUACCUAUAGAACAGAGGCACCCUACAAAGUGGAGCAUGCACUUAUUUUCCAGAUUCCUGAAGAGGCAGUCCUGUAACUGGCUGGUAACUGGUCUCCAAUCUUACCUGUGAAUCAGUGCAUGGGAAUGCAGGUAGGCCAGUCCCUGCAAGGCACCAUGAGUAAUGGCAGCGAUUUCCACUUCUUGAAGCGGUUUCUUAUGAACUGAGGAAGGAAAGAAACCUUUAGAA